GGUGGGGGAAAGGAGCAGAAAAACACUGGGGGCCCAAGAGUCUAGGCUGGCCUGGAAAUGUUGUUCUCUUCCAUCAAGCCUCCUGACUUUGAAGUCACUCAGCCUCAGGAGUACACCAGAGCCAUGUUUCCUCAAAAGGGCUCUGCUUCAUCAUCUUAUCAUCUGAUAAGAAGGAGACUCUGAGAGGUUAAUUGGCUCUUGCAACUUCAUAUGGCUCACUAUCUGCCAAGCCAAAGUUGGAACUACUAUCAGCAGACUCCCUACCAAGAGUAAAAAGUUUCUAACUAAACGUA